GGUAGCUGAUGAUAUAACUUUUUUUUUCCCCAUCAGAUGGAUCCUGUUGAUCUAACCGAACUAUUAGCUAGUUUUGUCUAAUGCAC
rnacentral:snoRNA from 1 species